rnacentral:rRNA from 1 species
GAAUUUUAUAUAAAAAUAUUUUAAGUUAGUUUAUUUUGAAUAUUUAGUAUUUAGUUGGGAGGAUUAUUAAAUUUAAGAAACUUUAAUAUUUAAUUACAUAGAUUAAUGAAUUAUAUAAAUAAAGAUUGAUUUAAAAAUGUAUAAAGAGUAAAUUACCUUAGGGAUAACAGCGUAAUAUUUUUAGAGAGAUCAUAUUAAUAAAAAUUAUUGC